rnacentral:rRNA from 1 species
UACGGGGGGGGCAAGCGUUGUUCGGAAUUAUUGGGCGUAAAGAGCGCGUAGGCGGUCCGGUAAGUCGGUUGUGAAAGUCGGGGGCUCAACCCUCGAAUGCCGGUGGAUACUGUCGGGCUAGAGUGCGGAAGAGGCGAGUGGAAUUCCUGGUGUAGCGGUGAAAUGCGCAGAUAUCAGGAGGAACACCAAUUGCGAAGGCAACUCGCUGGGACGCUACUGACGCUGAGACGCGAAAGCGUGGGGAGCAAACAGG